rnacentral:rRNA from 1 species
AUGGAUGACGAGGCCAAAAAGUUCAUGAGGGAGCUCUUGGGCGAGUUCUCUGGCGACAUCAAGGAGUCAAUCCGCGACCUGAGCUCCAAGGUGGAGGCCAUCCAGGAGUGGAGGCCGGAGCUAGAGGCCCGUGUCUCCGCUCUGCAGGAGGCGGUUGGGGCGCUCCAGCAAGCCGCACCCGGCUACCAGCCCCACGUCGUCAUCGACAUCCCCGAGGCAGCUGGCAAGGCGGUGGACAAGAACAAGGCCACCGUUCCUACCACACCAAUCGCACCAUGGAGGCCCUCCUCCAGGCCCGAUGGCCACGGCGAGCAUCCGCAACCCCGGGGGCAGUUCUCAGGAACUACCCCGGGCACAGGUGACGACGAAGACGACCUUCGCUCGCCACUGGCAACCACAGGGCCGCCGGGCCUCCUGGGCCAAGUAGAUUGGAGGUUGCAAUGA